rnacentral:lncRNA from 1 species
AUGAGGCUGCUGGAGAGAAUGAGGAAAGAAUGGUUCAUGAUUGGAAUAGUACUGGCGAUCGCGGGAGCAAAGCUGGAGCCGUCCAUAGGGGUGAAUGGGGGACCACUGAAACCAGAAAUAACUGUCUCCUACAUUGCUGUCGCAACAAUAUUCUUUAACAGCGGACUAUCAUUAAAAACAGAGGAGCUGACAAGUGCUUUGGUGCAUAUAAAACUGCAUCUUUUUAUUCAGAUCUUUACACUUGCAUUCUUCCCAGCAGCAGUAUGGCUUUUUCUUCAGCUUUUAUCAAUCACACCCAUCAAUGAAUGGCUUUUAAAAGGGUUGCAGACAGUAGGUUGCAUGCCUCCGCCUGUGUCUUCUGCGGUGAUAUUAACCAAGGCAGUUGGUGGAAACGAGGCAGCUGCAAUAUUUAACUCAGCCUUUGGAAGUUUUUUGGGCAUCGUUGUCACACCCCUGCUACUGCUGCUUUUUCUUGGCUCAUCCUCUUCUGUGCCUUUUACAUCUAUUUUUUCUCAGCUUUUUAUGACUGUUGUGGUUCCCCUCAUUAUUGGACAGAUUGUCCGAAGAUACAUCAAGGACUGGCUCGAAAGAAAGCAGCCUCCUUUUGGUGCCGUCAGCAGCAGCGUGCUCCUCAUGAUCAUCUACACAACCUUCUGUGACACAUUCUCGAACCCAAGUAUCGACCUGGAUAAAUUCAGUCUCCUUCUCGUACUGUUCAUAAUAUGUUCUAUUCAACUGAGUUUUAUGCUUUUAACCUUCAUCUUUUCCACAAGGAAUCCCAAUGCUGAAGAUCGUGUUCGCAGGCCACGAGUACCUCUCUUUAAUAUCCGUCCCCUUGCUCAUCUACCACCCAGUGCAGAUCCUCCUGGGAAGCGUGCUCGUGCCAACAAUAAAGUCCUGGAUGGUAUCAAGGCAGAAGGGAGUGAAAUUGAUGAGGCCAACCGUAUAACAAAGGAGGCGGUCGUUCCGCAGCCAUGUAUAUAUGUACAGGAUUGUACUUACAGUUCUGAAGACUUGUAUUUGUGAACGUUGCUUCGAUGCAUAUUUUAUUUUUUUACACACAAAAAAAUAUGAUAUAACUGUUUAAAGUGCCUUAAAAUGUAUUUGACGAGAGCAUUAUUUCCAAAACCUCCUUUGUUGGUUACUGCCAGGGGCGGUACAGUAUUUUGGAGUUGUUUAAUUUUCUUUUUUCCUAACGCAGAAAACGGCCAUUGAAGGUGACAAAAAAACAAGCACGUUUUCCUCGUACCAUCUUUCCUGCAUUUCAGCUCUCUCCUGGUUACGAUACUGUUUGAAAUGAGGUCACAUCAUCAGGAAAAUGCCCUUCCCAUGACAGUGAAUAUUUCCAAAAUCUUAUUUGAUUUACCACAUGAUUCUUUCUUUUUCUGCAACUGUGACAUGCCUCUUCCUUAUCAAC